UGCCAGCCGCCGCGGUAAUACGUAGGUGGCAAGCGUUAUCCGGAAUUACUGGGCGUAAAGCGUACGUAGGCGGAUUAAUAAGUUAGAGGUGAAAUCCCAGGGCUCAACCCUGGAACUGCCUUUAAAACUGUUAGUCUUGAGAUCGAGAGAGGUGAGUGGAAUUCCAAGUGUAGAGGUGAAAUUCGUAGAUAUUUGGAGGAACACCAGUGGCGAAGGCGGCUCACUGGCUCGAUACUGACGCUGAGGUACGAAAGUGUGGGAGCAAGCAGGAUUAGAUA
rnacentral:rRNA from 1 species